GACGAACGCUGGCGGCGUGCCUAAUACAUGCAAGUCGAACGAACCGCGACUGAGUGCUUGCACUUGGUCAAGGUGAGUGGCGAACGGGUGAGUAACACGUGGGUAACCUACCUCAUAGUGGGGGAUAACAGUCGGAAACGACUGCUAAUACCGCAUAGGACAUAGGAUCACAUGAUCCAGUGAGGAAAGGUGGCGCAAGCUAUCGCUAAGAGAUGGACCCGCGGUGCAUUAGCUAGUUGGUAGGGUAAAGGCCUACCAAGGCGAUGAUGCAUAGCCGACCUGAGAGGGUGAUCGGCCACAUUGGGACUGAGACACGGCCCAAACUCCUACGGGAGGCAGCAGUAGGGAAUCGUCCGCAAUGGACGCAAGUCUGACGGAGCAACGCCGCGUGAGUGAAGAAGGUCUUCGGAUCGUAAAGCUCUGUUGUUAGAGAAGAACAGCGCAUAGAGUAACUGCUAUGCGUGUGACGGUAUCUAACCAGAAAGCCACGGCUAACUACGUG
rnacentral:rRNA from 1 species